UCCCUGGAGGUCCAGUGGUUAGGACUCCAUGCUUCCACUGCUGGGGACCCAGGUUCAAUCCCUGGUCAGGGAA
rnacentral:tRNA from 1 species